rnacentral:tRNA from 1 species
GCCCGAGUGGUGAAAUGGCAGACACACAGGACUUAAAAUCCUGAGUUGGGAAACCAACGUACCGGUUCGAGUCCGGUCUCGGGCA